rfam:Ailuropoda melanoleuca scaffold3059_7, whole genome shotgun sequence.
GCCUGGCUGGCUCAGCGGGUAGAGCAUGGGACUCUUAAUCUCAGGGUUGUAAAUUCAAGCCCCACACUGGGUG